GACGAACGCUGGCGGCGUGCUUAACACAUGCAAGUCGAACGGAAAGGCCCUACGGGGUGCUCGAGUGGCGAACGGGUGAGUAACACGUGGGUGAUCUGCCCUGCACUUUGGGAUAAGCCUGGGAAACUGGGUCUAAUACCGAAUAUGAUCAUCAGCUUCAUGGUUGGUGGUGGAAAGCUUUUGCGGUGUGGGAUGGGCCCGCGGCCUAUCAGCUUGUUGGUGGGGUAAUGGCCUACCAAGGCGACGACGGGUAGCCGGCCUGAGGGGGUGACCGGCCAGACUGGGACUGAGAGACGCACCAGACUGCUACGGGAGGCAGCAGUGGGGAAUAUUGCACAAUGGGCGCAAGCCUGAUGCAGCGACGCCGCGUGAGGGAUGACGGCCUUCGGGUUGUAAACCUCUUUCAGCAAAGACGAAGCGCAAGUGACGGUAUGUGCAGAAGAAGGACCGGCCAACUACGUGCCAGCCGCCGCCGUAACAC
rnacentral:rRNA from 1 species